UUGCUUGGCAUAUCAAUAAGCGGAGGAAAAAGAAACCAACUGGGAUUACUUUUUGUAACGGGAGAGUGAAGCGGUAAAAGCUCAAAUUUGAAAUGUGGUACUUUCGGUGCCCGAGUUGUAAUUUGUAGAAUUUGUCUUUGAUUAGGUCCUUGUCUAUGUUCCUUGGAACAGGACGUCAUAGAGGGUGAGAAUCCCGUUUGGCGAGGAUACCUUUUCUCUGUAAGACUUUUUCGAAGAGUCGAGUUGUUUGGGAAUGCAGCUCAAAGUGGGUGGUAAAUUCCAUCUAAAGCUAAAUAUUGGCGAGAGACCGAUAGCGAACAAGUACAGUGAUGGAAAGAUGAAAAGAACUUUGAAAAGAGAGUGAAAAAGUACGUGAAAUUGUUGAAAGGGAAGGGCAUUUGAUCAGACAUGGUGUUUUUUGCAUGCACUCGCCUCUCGUGGGCUUGGGCCUCUCAAAAAUUUCACUGGGCCAACAUCAAUUCUGGCAGCAGGAUAAAUCAUUAAGAAUGUAGCUACUUCGGUAGUGUUAUAGCUUUUUGGAAUACUGUUAGCCGGGAUUGAGGACUGCGCUUCGGCAAGGAUGUUGGCAUAAUGGUUAAAUGCCGCCCGUCUUGAAACACGGACC
rnacentral:rRNA from 1 species